rnacentral:misc_RNA from 1 species
GAUGAAGAACGCAGUGAAAUGCGAUAAUUAAUGUGAAUUGCAGAAUUCAGUGAAUCAUCGAGUCUUUGAACGCACAUUGCGCCCCCUGGUAUUCCGGGGGGCAUGCCUGUCCGAGCGUCAUUGCUGCCCUCAAGCACGGCUUGUGUGUUGGGCUUCCGUCCCUGGCAACGGGGACGGGCCCAAAAGGCAGUGGCGGCACCAUGUCUGGUCCUCGAGCGUAUGGGGCUUUGUCACCCGCUCCCGUAGGUCCAGCUGGCAGCUAGCCUCGCAACCAAUCUUUUUAACCAGGUUGACCUCGGAUCAGGUAGGGAUACCCGCUGAACUUAAGCAUAUCAAUAAGCGGGGA